AAGUCUAGUGUGGAGACAGAAAAGUGAACAGAUUCUGAUAGUUGCCAGGAUACAGGGAAGUAGAGUGUGAGAUGGGAGUGAGCCCCAGAAGAGACAUCUAAAACAGAUUCUGGCACCAGGAGGAGGCUGGAGCAGGUGGACUUUUGAAAGAGAUGAGGUCUGCACCCAGCCAGCCAAGUGAAAUAGCAGGGGAGAUGAUCCUGCGGAAGAAGCAGCUAGAGCACAGACAUGGCAUCACGAGAUGUGCAGCCUUCUCUGGAACUGCAUGGAAAUUUGUUCAAUAGGGAGUUCUUGGUGACCAAGUGAUGGAGGAAGAGAACACUCAGGCCUAAUCUGCACGUGGUUCUGCACUACAGGCAGACACUACUCAAAAGGGCACAGCUAAGAUCAAAAUGGACAGAGGAUGCACAAAAUCCCCACUCUGAGGUGGUGUUGAAGAACAAGGGUGAAGGGAAACCCUCUACAUACACAGAAUUUUGAGCACUGCACCUGGUUGUCCAUUUUGCUUGGAAGGAGAGAUAUAUAGAAGUACAAGUCUAUACUGAUUCAUGGGUCAUGGCUAACACUUGGCUGGAAAGUCAGGAGAUUUGAAAGGAAUGUGAUUGAAAAAUCGGUGACAAAGAGAUCUGGAAGGAAAGGUUGACAGAUCUCUUCAAAUGGGUAUGGCAUGUGUAGGUAUUUAUGUUCUAUGAAAAUGCUCUCCAAAGAGUGAACUCAACAGAGGAGUAUUUGAAUAAUCAAGUGGAAAGGAUAAGCCUUUCUGUGGACAUGAGUCAGCCUGGUUCUCCAGCAAUUACUGUCAUUUCCCAAGUGGCUCGUGAAUAAAUUGGCCACGGAGGCCAAGAUGAAAGUUACGCAGGGGCACGGCAACAUAGAUGUCUACUUCCCAGGGCCCACCUGGCUAUGGCCACUGCAGAGAGCCCAGUCUGCUAGCAGCAGAGGUCAACGGUGAAUACCUGACACAGCACCAUUCCCAGCUACUGACUAACCACCUAUUGGCAGGGUGAUUAUUACAUUAAAUCACUUCUCUCGUUGAAGGAGCAGUGCUUUGUUCUUAUUGGAAUAGACAUUGACUUUGGAUACACACUUGCUUUCCCUGCCCACAAUGCUUCGCCAAAACCACUACGAAAACCAUACACAGAAUGAUUUAUGCACUAUCACGAUAUUUCACACAGCAUCACUUCUGAUCAAGAAACUUACUUCCAAGCAAAUGAAGUGCAGCAAUUGCUUCAUAUUGUUCACAGGUCUUAUCAUGUUCAUCAUCACCCCAAAGUAGGUGGCUUGACAGAAUGAUGGAAUAACGUUUUGAAGACUCAGUUAUGUCCCUAUGACAUUAGGUUCUACUGGCCUGGAGGUCUUAGUUCCAAAGGGAAGAGUGUGUCCACCAGGGCACCCACUGAUGACUCUGUUGAACUGGAGUGCCCCCUUUAACUCAUGCCAUUGAAUCAACAGGCAAAGAAGGGAGUGAUUGAACCUGAUUGGCUUCUACACAAAGAGGCUACAUCAACUCAAUUGGCAGGACUCUUAAUGGCCCAGACCUUUCGGAAUGAAAAUCUGGUUCACCCCACCGGCAGCUGGGCCUGUAACUGCUUUGCCUCCCCCUGGAUUCUCCUCCAGCUCCUCCAACUCCUGGGCCAGCUAUCCAACAGACCUAGGUGAAGUCUUCGGCUCUCUGAUUUCCCCGAAGCCAGUGCGCUGGGUCAUGGGGCUGGCUGACCUCCCAGCACCACCUACCUCCUCUCUAUGAGAUGCCAUCAGAUCCCACCCAAAGGAGCCAGUCGUCCCUGUGAAACAAUAAGCAAUUCUUACGAGAUACAAGUGGAGCUCUGUUACUGUGGCACAGGAAGGCUCGAUAAGAUCUUCCAGCCACAGCAUUCUUUUGUGUCAGCAGACGCAAGUGGGAUGUUCCUUCUGCAGCUCUUACGGAGCAAGAGGAAGCAGGCUUUGAAACACAAUGUUCAUUGAAAUCGGCUUUCAUCUAAGGAAUCCCAUGGUGGCUCCUGGUCCACGCGAUGUGCAUUCUGUCUGCAGCUGGGCUCUCCUGAUGCAUUUCCGUUGUUUGUUCUAGGGGGAAGGCAGCACCUUUAUGAGACUCACUCUUACUAGGUAAAGGGCAUCACAUUGUGCUAGGCAGAGCAUUCUGUGUCAGGAUGUCUCCAGUGAGUCUGGAGCCUAGAAGGAACAUUUAAAAAAAAAAAAAAAAAAAAA
rnacentral:lncRNA from 1 species